GAUGAACGCUGGCGGCGUGCCUAAUACAUGCAAGUCGAGCGAACAGACGAGGAGCUUGCUCCUCUGACGUUAGCGGCGGACGGGUGAGUAACACGUGGAUAACCUACCUAUCAGACUGGGAUAACUUCGGGACACCGGAGCUAAUACCGGAUAAUAUAUUGAACCGCAUGGUUCAAUAGUGAAAGACGGUUUUGCUGUCACUUAUAGAUGGAUCCGCGCCGCAUUAGCUAGUUGGUAAGGUAACGGCUUACCAAGGCAACGAUGCGUAGCCGACGUGAUAGGGGGAUAGCCCACACGGGAGCGGAGACGGGGUCCAGACUCCUAAGGUAGGCAGCAGUAGGGAAUCUGACGCAAUGGGCGAAAGCCUGACGGAGCAACGCCGCGUGAGUGAUGAAGGUCUUCGGAGCGUAAAACUCUGUUAUUAGGGAAGAACAAAUGUGUAAUUAAAUAUGGCCGGCUUGACGGUACCUAAUCAGAAAGCCACGGCUAACUACGUG
rnacentral:rRNA from 1 species